GACGAACGCUGGCGGCGUGCCUAAUACAUGCAAGUCGAGCGGACCAACCAGGAGCUUGCUCUUGUUUGGUUAGCGGCGGACGGGUGAGUAACACGUGGGUAACCUGCCCGUAAGACCGGGAUAACUCCGGGAAACCGGAGCUAAUACCGGAUAACACCGAAGACCGCAUGGUCUUUGGUUGAAAGGCGGCUUCGGCUGCCACUUACGGAUGGGCCCGCGGCGCAUUAGCUAGUUGGUGAGGUAACGGCUCACCAAGGCGACGAUGCGUAGCCGGCCUGAGAGGGUGACCGGCCACACUGGGACUGAGACACGGCCCAGACUCCUACGGGAGGCAGCAGUAGGGAAGCUUCCGCAAUGGACGAAAGUCUGACGGAGCGACGCCGCGUGAGCGAAGAAGGGCUUCGGAUCGUAAAGCUCUGUUGUUAGGGAAGAAGAAGCGCCGUUCGAACAGGGCGGCGCGGUGACGGUACCUAACGAGAAAGCCCCGGCUAACUACGUG
rnacentral:rRNA from 1 species